UUAACACAUGCAAGUCGAGCGGUAAGGCCUUCGGGGUACACGAGCGGCGAACGGGUGAGUAACACGUGGGUGAUCUGCCUCGUACUCUGGGAUAAGCCUGGGAAACUGGGUCUAAUACCGGAUAUGACCACGAGCCGCAUGGUUUGUGGUGGAAAGAUUUAUCGGUGCGAGAUGGGCCCGCGGCCUAUCAGCUUGUUGGUGGGGUAAUGGCCUACCAAGGCGACGACGGGUAGCCGGCCUGAGAGGGCGACCGGCCACACUGGGACUGAGACACGGCCCAGACUCCUACGGGAGGCAGCAGUGGGGAAUAUUGCACAAUGGGCGGAAGCCUGAUGCAGCGACGCCGCGUGCGGGAUGACGGCCUUCGGGUUGUAAACCGCUUUCGACAGGGACGAAGCGUGAGUGACGGUACCUGUAGAAGAAGCACCGGCCAACUACGUGCCAGCAGCCGCGGUAAUACGUAGGGUGCGAGCGUUGUCCGGAAUUACUGGGCGUAAAGAGCUUGUAGGCGGUUUGUCGCGUCGUUCGUGAAAACUUGGGGCUCAACCCCAAGCUUGCGGGCGAUACGGGCAGACUAGAGUACUGCAGGGGAGACUGGAAUUCCUGGUGUAGCGGUGAAAUGCGCAGAUAUCAGGAGGAACACCGGUGGCGAAGGCGGGUCUCUGGGCAGUAACUGACGCUGAGAAGCGAAAGCGUGGGUAGCGAACAGGAUUAGAUACCCUGGUAGUCCACGCCGUAAACGGUGGGUACUAGGUGUGGGUUUCCUUCCACGGGAUCCGUGCCGUAGCUAACGCAUUAAGUACCCCGCCGGGGAGUACGGCCGCAAGGCUAAAACU
rnacentral:rRNA from 1 species